GACGAACGCUGGCGGCGUGCUUAACACGUGCAAGUCGAACGGAAAGGCCCUGCUUUUGUGGGGUUCUCGAGUGGCGAACGGGUGAGUAACACGCGAGUAACCUGCCCUUGACUUUGGGAUAACUUCAGGAAACUGGGGCUAAUACCGGAUAGGAGCUCCUGCUGCAUGGUGGGCGUUGGAACGUUUCGGCUGUUGGGGAUGGACUCGCGGCUUAUCAGCUUGCUGGUGGGGUAGUGGCUUACCAAGGGUUUGACGGGUAGCCAGCGUGAGAGGGUGACCUGGCACAUUGGGACUGAGAUACGGCGCAGAGUGGUAGGGGAGGCAGCAGUCGGAAGUAUUGCACAGUGAGCGGAAGCCUGAUGCGGGAACCCGGGGUGCGGGAUGACGGCUUUGGGGUUGAAAACCGCUUUCGCCUGUGACGGGGCGUGAGUGACGGUAAUGAGUAAAGAAGCACCGGCUAACUACGUG
rnacentral:rRNA from 1 species